rnacentral:rRNA from 1 species
UUAAUGAGAGUUUGAUCCUGGCUCAGGACGAACGCUGGCGGCGUGCCUAAUACAUGCAAGUAGAACGCUGAGGUUUGGUGUUUACACUAGACUGAUGAGUUGCGAACGGGUGAGUAACGCGUAGGUAACCUGCCUCAUAGCGGGGGAUAACUAUUGGAAACGAUAGCUAAUACCGCAUAAGAGUAAUUAACACAUGUUAGUUAUUUAAAAGGAGCAAUUGCUUCACUGUGAGAUGGACCUGCGUUGUAUUAGCUAGUUGGUGAGGUAAAGGCUCACCAAGGCGACGAUACAUAGCCGACCUGAGAGGGUGAUCGGCCACACUGGGACUGAGACACGGCCCAGACUCCUACGGGAGGCAGCAGUAGGGAAUCUUCGGCAAUGGACGGAAGUCUGACCGAGCAACGCCGCGUGAGUGAAGAAGGUUUUCGGAUCGUAAAGCUCUGUUGUUAGAGAAGAACGUUGGUA